AAGCGAUUCAAGCACUUUAUAGCAGUCUUUCUUCAGGUUCCCCACUAAAGACGAAAGAUGUUGACAGUGGGUCCAGAAUAUUCGUUGAUAAGAUCUCCUAUAGGGAACUACGGUGUACUUGUCAAAGAACUGCCGUCUUUGUUCUGAACACCCUGUAUAUCUCACACAUAAAACAAUAAAUUAUGUAAAUCUUACCAUAAA